rnacentral:rRNA from 1 species
GGUAUUGUAAUAAGAUUUUAAUUGAAUGCUAAAAGAAUGGAAAUUUAAAAAAAAACUUUUUUAAAAAUAAAAAUUGAAUUUUUUUUAAUUUGUGCAAAAACAAUUAUAUUUAUUAAAGACAAGAAGACCCUAAGAAUUUAAGAUUUUACAAUUAAAAAGUUUUUUUUUAAAAUCUUGAUUGGGGCGAUCAAAAAAUAUUAAUAACUUUUUAAAAUUUAAAUUGAUCUAUUAUUAAUAAACUAAUGAAUUAAAUACUCUAGGGAUAACAGCGUAAUAAUUUUUGAUAGAUCUUAUUGACAAAAUAGUUUGCGACCUCGAUGUUGGAUUAGGAUUCUUUUUUAAUGAAGAAGUUAAAAAAAGAAGUUUGUUCAACUUUUAAAUUCCUACUUGAUCUGAGUUCAGACCG